GUGUUGCGAUUCGGUAGCUGCGGUUUGUGAAGCAGGAACCCGAUCCCUCGAAACACUCGAGUUUUAAGAUCCCCCUGAUCGUUCACAAUCCUUGGAGAAGACUGGGCAGGUUGCACAGCCCGACGAUCAGGAACGAAGCACUUUGAAAAUCGAACAUGACGCGUAACGAGCGAAAAUCGACAGCCAACGAUCGGGUCACGGUCGAAAUUUAACCGAACGAUUCACAAGUACGGGACGACAGUCUGUUUACAAUUUGUAGAUUUUAGUCGAGGACAGUUGGAAUAGACGAGCAGGCGACGAAACAAGGGAAACGAUGACUGGGGACGACGAAGAGUUGCACGUGAAAUUGUUGGAAAGUAUUUUGACAAGUGUACGGUACGCGAGAGGUAAAACAGACGAGAGACCGGAACGUUUUGACUCGGAGCGUCGAGAGGAGACUGGCGAACGCCUUUCUGCCUCUGCCUGGGACAUCGCUGGGCAUCCCUUUCCACCAAUGAUGAGGCUUCCUUGCUGGUCUCGCGGAGAGACCGAGGUACCUUUACUCUUGAUAGGUUACCUUCGAGUUAACUCGAUAGGAUCGUAAAUGCGCGCAUGCAUAUAAAUUACUCUUUCGAUCUUGGAAAUCGCAAGUAUUUUUGGACCGGAAGAUUCGCGAGUCGGUACCCAGAAGUGGUACAAAAUGUUUGCUCGUCCAUUCUACGAUAUUCGAUCCUGUAACGUAAAUUCUAAUUUCUAUUCAACGAAUAAUGAAUGUACACGUUCGUAUAUCUGGGCAGGAAUUUUUCGCACGACCUUGAGGAGUUUAAUUUACGAAGGAGAAAAAUGAUAAAUUACGAUGCAGGAACAGGUGCUCCGGGGCCCGCUUUAAUUCAAACAGAACAUUAAAUCCGAGGGGGAAAGGUGUCCGUGCGUAUCGGAUGACCAAUAAUAAGAUGCUAGACCGCAAGGGCCACGAGGCAGAUGGAUCGCGGAUAUCGCUUCGUGGCGAUAUAUCGAUCGCGCGAAACAAUUAUUGCCAGCCAGUCUGGACGUGCAAUCUCUGACACAGGUCAGAAGUGUAUCGGAUCGAUUUAGAACGUACUCUCACCGCGUGCGAGUUCCAACGGACAAAAGGUAUCUCUUUUCGAGGCAGCGUUAUUGUCCGCGUGCGAGCCGCGAGAUCGAACGUCGAUAAGCCAUUACGAUGGCCGCGGGGCGCUGAGCACGCACAAUGCCGCCCAAUCCGUCGUGAAAAAAGAAAUAUUCCGAGUUACACGUUCUACCGACCUUGCGUCUUCUUCGCUCGUUGAUCGCGCGUGACCCGUGGCAUCUCCUUUUCGCGGUGGAACGCGGUUCGUCCUAUCGGUAGAUUCAUCUGCCGCAGCUCGGUUAUAGAGAGAAGAGUUCUUCAACCUCACGAAACUCGAGGACCCAACGCCGCCGUAAUCUUGACGAAGCGGCAGAUUGUCCGCGACACGGAGGAACGUGUCACGUUUUACCGGAAGUCUCGACGGCGGUGCAGCGAUUCAGGGGACAACCGUCAUUAGCCUAACGAACAGCCGAGCGAUCAGCCACGCAGCGACAUCGACGCGUCGGUCAAAGUUUCGAAAGGAUGGUAACCUCGUGGAUUUUUUCGGGAUGGAAAGCAACUCUCGUUCGAAUUCCACGCCGACGAUGUAUUAUUCAACGAGUGUGAUUCUUGUCCACGCGAAAAAGGAAUUUCGAAGAGGAACAUGUGCAACAUUGUUAACCAUCUGGCAUUGCAACGCUACGUUCUCUUUGGAUCGCCACCGAAGAGGUUCCGAAGCCCAGUCAAACCGUUUACGACAGAAGCGACAAGUAGGAUUCAACCAAAGUGUCAAAUAACCAGUAGGUUCAUUGGUACUGAUCGUUAACGAGCAGCUCGGAAGGUUUCGCAGCCUCCAGCGUAGCUGUCGAAACGAUAGGAACGAAAGAAAUGUUUCUCUGGGAACGGCUCGUUUUCAGGGUUAUCGAACUCAAAAUUUCGCGGCCCUCGUGAAGCGGUGCGUGAGAGGCGGCAGAAGAGAGUGAUCGCGUCGAAGAGGAACAAGCACCGUGGCCGAUAGAGAGAGGCAGAAACAAAGAGAGUUGGGUUCCUCGAGAGAAUCGCGGCCUCCUCGUCUUUCUCCUCCUCGCGUAGGUACGGAGAUAAAACGGGAGAUGCUGCGAGGAACAGGUAGUAACGGUACCUGCUGGUACAGGCCAUCUCUCUUCAAGCAUCUAACUUUGAAUAUCGCUUUUCGGCGAUGCUCGUCUCGAUCAGCUUAUUCGUCGAGAUGAAACUCGUCGUCGAUUGUCGCCGAGGAUAACGUCGGCGCUCCAGUCCCUGAGGCUCGCCAACUCUGCCAUCCAGACGUAUUAUAAUGAGACCGUGUCUAAUUAAAUCCGCGUUACGCCACGCUAUUAUUAAGCCCGUAACCGUUGCGACAGUUGCUCAUUCUGUCGCGCGAUCACCACCGCGAAGAGAACCCUCUCACGCGUUCCGACACCCGAGACGCUAACAACGGAUCUUCUGCUGAAAAAUUGCACUCGAUUUGUCGUUUCGUUUGGAGAGCCGUGCCCGCUCUCUCGCGUUUUGUCACGCUCGUUAAUUGCGAACGAGCUAACGAACCGCGGCACGUGAAACACCUUGGGAACAAUGUUGGGCGAAAUACAAUCAGAGUUGGCAAUUGAUCGAUCACAAUUGCAGUAGUCUACGCGAUCGAUUGGUGUAACGGCAGUUACCGUAUAUAUUUCCGCAUCCCAUGGAACGAAGGAUGCUUUACCGGAGAAACGUUUUCCCGAUCGUCGAGAUGGCACGUGCAUCGAAUACGCUCGUCACCUUGUACUCGUGCACUUUUGAGUGUUCCGAAGUCCGGCAAGUGGCCGCAAUUCUAAAUACGUAUCGUUUAAGCUUGUUCUUUUCAACUAUCGCUGACUCCGCCACGGAUAUGCACCGCAAUCGUUAGCCGUUGGCAAGCGGUUACCAAAGCUAUAGAAUAUGUGCCCGGCGGACCUCGAUACGGGUGUCGGCACCUGAGAAGAAUGUCUCUAAAAGGUACACUUUGUUCGAACGAUUUGUCCACGCCAGAGGUGAAUCUACCGUAUGAGAACGUUUCCAUAAUAAUACUCGCCUUUCGAAAAGAACAUGAAUUACUUUUUAGACCUUCGUAAGCUUAAAUUCGUCACUGAUCCGUAGUACCGUCCAUGAAUCCACGGUGGAGUUAUUUGAACAGAGUUACUUGAACCGAGUGUACCCUUAGGAGACAUUCGGCGCAGCUGCCAAUAAUAAAUAAGUUCAGUACGGAUUAAAGUUUGUUCGUGGUUGGAAUUCGUAGCUCGAAGCCCGAUGCUUGGACGGCAAAAUCGUCAUCGUGGAUAAAGAGGAUCGCAAAGGUCGCGACGAUUCCGAGUCGUGACGCGAAAAGGCACGUUCUUGAAACGUGGAAUCGAGGUCGGUCUCUUGGUGAGCGGGCUGCAGUUGCGCGCACAUCGAGAACCGUAUUCGUGCACGUGUAGAUGCGCGUGUAUGCAUGUAUGAUCGCAAAAGAACAAACACGCGGGGUGCAAAACGAGAAACGAAAUCGGGAUAGAAGAUUGGCGUUUCUCGGAUCGGCGAUUCCGAACAAUUCCCGCCGAAGUAACUACCGCUGCAUCUCGAGCGGAAUAGCUUUUUAGUUUCAUAGAACUUUUCAGUUCUAAGAGCAGAACAUAUUAAUUUGUAUUUUUGCUACCGCGCCGGUGGCCUACAUAUGUCCGAUACGUAAGUCCCCCUUCUUUCGUGUGUACGUACGUGUACUAGAUGCUGGUUCGGACAGUUGGUUUAACGAAACAAGAUUAUUUCUGAAAAUUGCGUACGGUUCCUAAUUUUCCUAGGGUUUCCUAAAGGAGGAAACAGUGAAUAAAAGAUAGCGUGUCCUUCACAAAAAAGCUUUUUAUUAAAAAACUCGUAUUUGGUAAAUAAAACUCUGUCUCCACUUUGUGUACAGCGUAACAUAUAUAAUCGUAAUAGUGAAUUACAAUUAACGGAGUAGUCGGAUACGAGUCGGCGAAAUUACGAACAAGAUAGAUCGACCGAUCGAUCGUUGCCAACGCGGUACGACUAACGCACAGGGAAAGGUUUCUUUCGGCCGUCUCAAUUUUACAACGACGAUAUUCGCAUGUUACAAUUACGCGUGCACGGCUUUUCGUAGGCAUUUUCGCCACAUGGCUUGUUACAUCUCGUCACGGCAUUCGCGUCAGUCUUACAUCGAAGAAGGAUCGCUCGUUACGAAUGAUCAACACUCGUUUUCCAGCAUUUUCGUUCUCCGCGGAGAAACGAGGAAGAGUUACCCGCACAAUUCUAGUUGUCAACGAUCCUCUACUUUCAACGUUGGGAUACGACGUCGAGGCAAAUAACAAAAUUACGUAGGCAAGCAAGAGAAAGAGAAGGUGUUUUCAAAAUAAAUGAAAUAGCACGAAAGCAUGCUAUGUUUCACGCGUCUCAAGCGAAGGUGUCUUUCUAAUUUAUAUCGGUCCUUACGAUACCAGAACUUUCACUUCGAACGCGCGAAACAUCAACUCCAAUAUUUCGACGUGACAACUUUUCCAUCUACAAAAUUUGGAAGAUUACAGUUUGGUGGCGUUUGGAAAAUUUCGCGCGGAAGAGUUGCGAUUUUCACGUCCCGGCCUUCGCGGUUCGGCUGACGGUAAUCGGCUAGAUUACGAAAUAAGGCGUGCCGCGAGGCUCGCGAUUAUCAUUCGGAUACUCAUCGUCCUGAAAAGGAAUUUUCUCGUUUAGUAGGCCACGGCGGUCCAAGGACUGGUUGAAAAUGGCAUCGCCUCGGUAUUGUAGCGAGAUAAUUACGCGAUGUACUCGAAGGUUCGUGGAAAUCGUCGAAGGAGGGUAACGAUAUCUCUGACAAUGCCUCGGGACUGUAUAAAACAUCUCGAAGCUGCUAACAAUAUUUCUGUUUCUAAAGAAAACUGUCACUCUUCGUUGAAUACCGUUCGUUGCAACAAUUCAACCCUUACGAUCGUUAAUGCGUUAGGGGCUAACUGAAAAAUAGGAACAACCGAAUACCGUACGAUCGCCAAUUCCGAAAUAAAUGAUAUUUACUCGCGACUAAUUAGAUCAAAUUGGCGAUCGUUCGAGUACUCGUUGAGUGGGACGUGUGGGCAAAGGUAGAGGCCGAUGAUGAAACUUCUUCGUGUCCGCGUAUCGCAAGCUCUUUAUUGACAAAUAAAUACGACAAUACUGUAUAUACAAAAAAAAAAAAUAAUAAUAAAUAAUAGGAAAAAUAUUCACCCGUCUUACGAACAAGCCAACGGUCAUUUCGCGUACCGUUUUCUCCGUGGGAACGGGACAGUUGGCACGCGUAUGUACGUAAAGGGGACGACGGAUUCCGCUGCGAACGAUCGCAAAGUACGGACAAACGCGGAAGGAAGGAUAGGUAAAAAAGAAACAGGCUUGCGUCUGUAGAUUUCUUUUCCAAUCGGGCUUAACGUAACAAUACUAAGAAUAACGUUCAACAGUCGAAUAUAACAGUAUGUUCUAUAUUUUAAAAUAUCUCUCGAUUCUUCCUUGUCUUUAUGCAAUAUACGUUCAGCGUAGAAAAAACUUCGCUGCAAGUUCCCUAUAAAAAUUAGUAGUUUCUCCAAGGAGGUUCCGUCUAUGCGUUCACGCGAUACGGACAGAUAUCGAGGGAUUCGGAGCGGAGGCGAAAAUUAACGAAUAGAGAGACUACUAUCGGUGACAAUGUUUUCCUUGAUCGGUUUCGCGUUAUCUACAGGUCGGAUAAAGAACUUGAGCAAAUCUAAUAUUGAGCAGUCGUGUGCGAGGAAUCGCUUUUCGGACAAAUCUUUGCUUGACGGAAAACUAUUUGGAUUGAUCGUUCGUGAUCCGCGGGGAGGAAGGUUUUGCGUCGAAUUUCGCGAAUGUCUAUCUCUAUGUACAUUUCUAAAAACGUAAACGUACCUAUGACUAACAAAUCGUACGUAAAUUGCAGGCUUUAACCGUAAAAAUAAACGACACGGAAUAGGAACAGGAGGACAGUCCUCGACGUAUAUCGUACCUUAAACUACGCGUUCGAAAAAAAAAAGAAAA